AGCGAACGCUGGCGGCAGGCCUAACACAUGCAAGUCGAACGAACUCUUCGGAGUUAGUGGCGGACGGGUGAGUAACACGUGGGAACGUGCCUUUAGGUUCGGAAUAACUCAGGGAAACUUGUGCUAAUACCGAAUGUGCCCUUCGGGGGAAAGAUUUAUCGCCUUUAGAGCGGCCCGCGUCUGAUUAGCUAGUUGGUGAGGUAAAGGCUCACCAAGGCGACGAUCAGUAGCUGGUCUGAGAGGAUGAUCAGCCACAUUGGGACUGAGACACGGCCCAAACUCCUACGGGAGGCAGCAGUGGGGAAUCUUGCGCAAUGGGCGAAAGCCUGACGCAGCCAUGCCGCGUGAAUGAUGAUGGUCUUAGGAUUGUAAAAUUCUUUCACCGGGGACGAUAAUGACGGUACCCGGAGAAGAAGCCCCGGCUAACUUCGUG
rnacentral:rRNA from 1 species